rnacentral:rRNA from 1 species
UACGGGGGGUGCGAGCGUUGUCCGGAAUCACUGGGCGUAAAGGGCGCGUAGGUGGUCUGAUAAGGGUGUGGUGAAAGCCCGGGGCUCAACCCCGGGUCGGCCGUGGCAACUACUUGGCUGGAGCACUGUAGGGCGGGUGGAAGUUCCGGGUGUAGCGGUGGAAUGCGUAGAGAUCCGGAAGAACACCGGUGGCGAAGGCGGCCCGCUGGGCAGGAAGACCUCGUAAGAGGUCGGCUGACACUGAGGCGCGACAGCGUGGGGAGCAAACAGG